rnacentral:misc_RNA from 1 species
UACGAAGGGGGCAAGCGUUGUUCGGAAUGACUGGGCGUAAAGGGCGCGUAGGCGGCGCGUUGCGUCAGGUGUGAAAUCCCCGGGCUCAACCUGGGAACUGCACUUGAUACGGGCGUGCUUGAAUCCGUGAGAGGUUGGUGGAAUUCCCAGUGUAGAGGUGAAAUUCGUAGAUAUUGGGAAGAACACCAGUGGCGAAGGCGGCCAACUGGCACGGUAUUGACGCUGAGGCGCGAAAGCGUGGGGAGCAAACAGG